rnacentral:tRNA from 1 species
GUGCCAGUAGCUAAACGGACAAGGCUCGCGGCUGCCAACCGCGGAUAGAGGGUUCGAUUCCCUCCUGGCACU